rnacentral:lncRNA from 1 species
ACUGGUUAAUAUAGGUAAAUAAAAUAUCCUAAUCAGUGUAUGACAAGUGGGUCCCUUUCCCUUUAAUUUAUCGGGUUAACCUUUAGCUAACGUUAAUAAUAAAUGUGCCUAUGACAUGCGGCCCGACUGGUCAGUUGACCAGUCAACUAUUGAUGUUAGUGUGACAUCGUGCUGAUGUCAUAAUUGCUUUGAAUCAAUUUAUUAAAUCUGUUUUUAAUUCCUAAAUAGUUAAUAAAACUUUAAAAAUUAAUAUAAAAUAAUCCGUAAGUCAGAUCAAAAUACUUUCAACAUGAUAGUUGAUCAGCAGUACGAGAUAAAUCCGGAUACACGGUCCAUUCGUGUGUCACACGUCCCUAGCAUAGCAAAUAUGGAACUUUUCCAUCAUUUUCCGUGUGACCGGUAGCAACCCGAGACCCGGAAAAUAUCGUCAGAUAUUCUUCCGACCCGUCUAUGACGGAUGUUGCUGCGUUAGCUCAUGUCUAGCCUGCAUCAUGCCAUGUCAUGCAUUGUGUUACACCGUUGCUAUUAUUUAUUGUUUGUUCCCCCUCUUCUCACCGGUAGACCCCGAGACUGACGCUGCUGCCGGGUACAUCUACGACCCUGCCGAUCAGUCCUUUGCCGCAGAGCAGCAAGUC